rnacentral:tRNA from 1 species
GCCCAGAUGGUGAAAUUGGCAGACACGCUAGUUUCAGGUACUAGAGUCCGAAAGGAUGUGGGGGUUCAAGUCCCCCUCUGGGCA